rnacentral:rRNA from 1 species
GUGUCAGCCGCCGCGGUAAUACGGAGGGUGCAAGCGUUAAUCGGAUUCAUUGGGCGUAAAGAGCGCGUAGGCGGGGAGGUAAGUUAGAUGUAAAAGCCCGGGGCUCAACCUCGGAACUGCAUCUAAUACUACUUCUCUAGAGGAUGGGCGGAGAAAAGGGAAUUCCACGUGUAGCGGUGAAAUGCGUAGAUAUGUGGAAGAACACCAGUGGCGAAGGCGCUUUUCUAGCUUAUUCCUGACGCUGAGGCGCGAAAGCAAGGGGAGCAAACAGGAUUAGAUACCCUGGUAGUCCUUGCCGUAAACGAUGUACACUUGAUGUAGAUGGUCUCAACCCCAUUUGUGUCGUAGCUAACGUGUUAAGUGUACCGCCUGAGGAGUACGCUCGCAAGGGUGAAACUCAAAAGAAUUGACGGGGGCCCGCACAAGCAGUGGAGCAUGCGGUUUAAUUCGAUGCAACGCGAAGAACCUUACCCAGACUUGACAUGUACCUGACAGCGGUAGAAAUAUCGUCUUCUGAAAGGACAGGUACACAGGUACUGCAUGGCUGUCGUCAGCUCGUGCCGUGAGGUGUUGGGUUAAGUCCCGCAACGAGCGCAACCCUUAUCACUAGUUGCCAGCAUUUCGGAUGGGAACUCUAGUGAGACUGCCUGGGUUAACCAGGAGGAAGGUGAGGAUGACGUCAAGUCAGCAUGGUCUUUAUGUCUGGGGCGACACGCGUGCUACAAUGGCCAGUACAGAAGGCAGCAAUACCGUAAGGUGGAGCAAAUCCCAAAAACUGGUCUCAGUUCGGAUUGUAGUCUGCAACUCGACUACAUGAAGUUGGAAUUGCUAGUAAUGGCGCGUCAGCCACAGCGCCGUGAAUACGUUCCCGGGCCUUGCACACACCGCCCGUC